AGAGCGAACGCUGGCGGCAGGCUUAACACAUGCAAGUCGAGCGGGCGUAGCAAUACGUCAGCGGCAGACGGGUGAGUAACGCGUGGGAACAUACCUUUUGGUUCGGAACAACACAGGGAAACUUGUGCUAAUACCGGAUAAGCCCUUACGGGGAAAGAUUUAUCGCCGAAAGAUUGGCCCGCGUCUGAUUAGCUAGUUGGUGGGGUAACGGCCCACCAAGGCGACGAUCAGUAGCUGGUCUGAGAGGAUGAUCAGCCACAUUGGGACUGAGACACGGCCCAAACUCCUACGGGAGGCAGCAGUGGGGAAUAUUGGACAAUGGGCGAAAGCCUGAUCCAGCCAUGCCGCGUGAGUGAUGAAGGCCCUAGGGUUGUAAAGCUCUUUUGUGCGGGAAGAUAAUGACGGUACCGCAAGAAUAAGCCCGGCUAACUUCGUGCCAGCAGCCGC
rnacentral:rRNA from 1 species